rnacentral:rRNA from 1 species
AUUGAACGCUGGCGGCAUGCCUUACACAUGCAAGUCGAACGGCAGCGGGGGAGAAGCUUGCUUUUCCUGCCGGCGAGUGGCGAACGGGUGAGUAAUACAUCGGAACGUGCCCUGUAGUGGGGGAUAACUAGUCGAAAGAUUAGCUAAUACCGCAUACGACCUGAGGGUGAAAGUGGGGGACCGCAAGGCCUCAUGCUAUAGGAGCGGCCGAUGUCUGAUUAGCUAGUUGGUGGGGUAAAGGCCUACCAAGGCGACGAUCAGUAGCUGGUCUGAGAGGACGAUCAGCCACACUGGGACUGGGACACGGCCCAGACUCCUACGGGAGGCAGCAGUGGGGAAUUUUGGACAAUGGGCGAAAGCCUGAUCCAGCAAUGCCGCGUGUGUGAAGAAGGCCUUCGGGUUGUAAAGCACUUUUGUCCGGAAAGAAAUGGCUCUGGUUAAUACCUGGGGUAGAUGACGGUACCGGAAGAAUAAGGACCGGCUAACUACGUGCCAGCCGCCGCCGUAACAC